CGGAAGAUGUAACGGGGCUAAACCAUGCACCGAAGCUGCGGCAGCGACACUAUGUGUUGUUGGGUAGGGGAGCGUUCUGUAAGCCUGUGAAGGUGGCCUGUGAGGGUUGCUGGAGGUAUCAGAAGUGCGAAUGCUGACAUAAGUAACGAUAAAGCGGGUGAAAAGCCCGCUCGCCGGAAGACCAAGGGUUCCUGUCCAACGUUAAUCGGGGCAGGGUGAGUCGACCCCUAAGGCGAGGCCGAAAGGCGUAGUCGAUGGGAAACAGGUUAAUAUUCCUGUACUUGGUGUUACUGCGAAGGGGGGACGGAGAAGGCUAUGUUGGCCGGGCGACGGUUGUCCCGGUUUAAGCGUGUAGGCUGGUUUUCCAGGCAAAUCCGGAAAAUCAAGGCUGAGGCGUGAUGACGAGGCACUACGGUGCUGAAGCGACAAAUGCCCUGCUUCCAGGAAAAGCCUCUAAGCAUCAGGUAACAUCAAAUCGUACCCCAAACCGACACAGGUGGUCAGGUAGAGAAUACCAAGGCGCUUGAGAGAACUCGGGUGAAGGAACUAGGCAAAAUGGUGCCGUAACUUCGGGAGAAGGCACGCUGAUAUGUAGGUGAAGCGACUUGCUCGUGGAGCUGAAAUCAGUCGAAGAUACCAGCUGGCUGCAACUGUUUAUUAAAAACACAGCACUGUGCAAACACGAAAGUGGACGUAUACGGUGUGACGCCUGCCCGGUGCCGGAAGGUUAAUUGAUGGGGUUAGCGGUAACGCGAAGCUCUUGAUCGAAGCCCCGGUAAACGGCGGCCGUAACUAUAACGGUCCUAAGGUAGCGAAAUUCCUUGUCGGGUAAGUUCCGACCUGCACGAAUGGCGUAAUGAUGGCCAGGCUGUCUCCACCCGAGACUCAGUGAAAUUGAACUCGCUGUGAAGAUGCAGUGUACCCGCGGCAAGACGGAAAGACCCCGUGAACCUUUACUAUAGCUUGACACUGAACAUUGAGCCUUGAUGUGUAGGAUAGGUGGGAGGCUUUGAAGUGUGGACGCCAGUCUGCAUGGAGCCGACCUUGAAAUACCACCCUUUAAUGUUUGAUGUUCUAACGUGGGCCCCUUACCGGGGUUGCGGACAGUGUCUGGUGGGUAGUUUGACUGGGGCGGUCUCCUCCUAAAGAGUAACGGAGGAGCACGAAGGUUGGCUAAUCCUGGUCGGACAUCAGGAGGUUAGUGCAAUGGCAUAAGCCAGCUUGACUGCGAGCGUGACGGCGCGAGCAGGUGCGAAAGCAGGUCAUAGUGAUCCGGUGGUUCUGAAUGGAAGGGCCAUCGCUCAACGGAUAAAAGGUACUCCGGGGAUAACAGGCUGAUACCGCCCAAGAGUUCAUAUCGACGGCGGUGUUUGGCACCUCGAUGUCGGCUCAUCACAUCCUGGGGCUGAAGUAGGUCCCAAGGGUAUGGCUGUUCGCCAUUUAAAGUGGUACGCGAGCUGGGUUUAGAACGUCGUGAGACAGUUCGGUCCCUAUCUGCCGUGGGCGCUGGAGAACUGAGGGGGGCUGCUCCUAGUACGAGAGGACCGGAGUGGACGCAUCACUGGUGUUCGGGUUGUCAUGCCAAUGGCACUGCCCGGUAGCUAAAUGCGGAAGAGAUAAGUGCUGAAAGCAUCUAAGCACGAAACUUGCCCCGAGAUGAGUUCUCCCUGACUCCUUGAGAGUCCUGAAGGAACGUUGAAGACGACGACGUUGAUAGGCCGGGUGUGUAAGCGCAGCGAUGCGUUGAGCUAACCGGUACUAAUGAACCGUGAGGCUUAACCUU
rnacentral:rRNA from 2 species